GAAAAAGGAUGUAUGUUCCCUGCCUCUGAAGAAACAGGUACAAUCUUGCAUAAAAUUGCUUGUUAACAUUGAUCUGUGCGUGGAAUCAGUUUGUGUUGCAGGGAAAUGAAGCGUCCUACACGCCUGUGAUCAAAAUGAAUUUCAUCAUCUCAACCUUCUUUUUUUUUUUAAUGAUAGCAAGACAGUGUCUGGCAGACAAAGGAACUGGUUGGGAGCUGAAAAUAGGUAAUGGUAGCAGCAGGGAUUUUUAAUUGGCUGGAAGAGACGGCGAAGAUCUGGAAGGUGAAGCCCUAGCUCGUGCUCCUGGCUGAGACUAAGCCCAGGUUUCAGGAUUAGGAAGGAAAGCUAAACCACCUAUUGCCACGGAAUGUAGAAACCCUGGCUUUAUUUGGCAGUUGUUGGCUUCUACAAUUCAAUUAAAAAGAUCCCCAUCCUCCAGAGAGUUAUUUUGUUCGUCAGAAUUCAUAACACGCUCAACAAAGGUCAAGGCGUUUUGGCAAAGUGCGACGCGGCUAAGAAAAUAGAAGAGAAGGAAGCUGAUGCAGGACCUGCCAGUGUUCCUGGUGAUGUCAUGAGGAUGAAGAAACUCUCUUUUGAGGGGGCCUGGGUAGGGCUGGCUGCCACUCACACCUUGAGACUCAGGUACCAAAAGAACUAAGUUCAAACUACCCUUACAAUUUAGAAGCCCUGAGCUGAUUUUUCUUUUGCUGGGCUCGGCAGCAUCCCUGUUUGCUGGUGGGUCUCAAACUGAGUGAUGCAUUGGAAUUGCCUGGCGGGUUUAUUAGUGCACGGAUUGCUGGGCCCCGAGCCGCAGAGUCUCAUUCAGUGGGCCUGGAGCAGGAACUGAGAGUUUGCAUUGCUAACAAGCUUCCAGGUGAAGCUGACGCUGCUGGUCCAGGGACCACCUUUUGGAAGCACUGCUCUAUGCCAAUAACAGUGGGUGGAUUAAGAAAAGGCCGUGGAGCUGUUACUUCAAGUCAUGGAGCCUCUUGGUGGCUCAUUUCCUCACCUUGAGAAUGGAGACAACACUGAGAACAUCUACUGGGCAGGGCUGUUAUGAGUGUUAAAGGAGGCAGUGGGUGUGAAGUUCCUGGUAUACAACAGGGCUUAAUACAUGAUCAUUUUCAUUAGGUGUGGGCUGACCCUCCUGUCAGUGGACAGGGCCCCUCCCUGCCCCACCGACUAAUUCUGCCUGGAAUUGUAUCAUUAGACAGCCAUCCGUCGGCCCUUUAAGAUAUACAUGCACCAGAGAGAGGAAGCUAAAUCUGGCUCAGACCUCUUGAGACUUACGAAUCAGUUUCUCAGCUGCGCUUUCUUCCCAAAUUGAGAGGAUCGGGGCAUAGCAAAUAACGCCAAGGCCUGACAGUUGGGAAGCACACCCUUCCCCUCUCAGAGGCUUUCUCAUCGGCUCUUCCUCAUCGGCUGCUUCUUGGGAGAGUGCUGUGGUUUGGGCUGUUUUAGUCUCCAAGGGGAUGGGUGAUUUAUAUCCUUUUAUUCGGCAAACAGCUUUGUACAGAAUGAAUGCCACUGCUAAAUGUCACCAGGCGGGGGCAGGGGAGCCGUAUAGAAUCCCAAUGAAGCCUUCCAGGCCUGGGCAAAAUGGCACCUGGCGACUCGGUUAGUGUGUGUGUUUUCUCCGGCGGGAGUAAGGAAGACACAGUCAGAGUGGCAGGGAAAUGCAAAGACUCCAGCGCCCCCCUCCCCUGCUAGUGCCUGCCACUUUCUGCUUCUCCAUCUUCUCCCUGCCCUUUGCAGGACAGGGCCCUCUCCACCUCGGAGAGAAGCAAGGCAGUCAGUGACCUAUGGACUUCAGGGAGGGGCUCCUUUCUGUGGCGCUGAGUCAGCAUGCCAGGCCUGCAGGGCUACACAAUCAAGCAUGAGGGAUUGCGGGUUUCACCAGGGCAUAUCAGGGCUUAGCUCUGCACUCAACCUUGCCCAAGCCGGGGUUCCGGCUGGAGGCCCCUUGCUCUUCUCACUCUCUUUCCAUGCUCCUGCUUCUCACCUCUCCCCAUCCACACCUGGGUCUGUACGUUCCCUGAGACUGUGAGCCAUGCCUCUUCACACACACACACACACACACACACACACACACACACACGGGUGCCCAGUGUGGCCCCAUUCUCAACACACAAUAAAUAAGUGCUCAAUGUUUGUUGAAUGAAUAACAAAUGGCCAACUCAUUCCCCCAUGAACCCUGGCAUCCCAGCACUGCCCUGCAUGAACCCUGGCACCCCAGCACUGCCCUGCAUGAACCCUGGCACCCCAGCACUGCCCUGCAUGAACCCUGGCACCCCAGCACGGCCCUGCAUGAACCCUGGCACCCCAGCACUGCCCUGCAUGAACCCUGGCACCCCAGCACUGCCCUGCAUGAACCCUGGCACCCCAGCACUGCCCUGCAUGAACCCUGGCACCCCAGCACGGCCCUGGGGCCUGUGGGCUGCUCUGGCAGGAUGACAAAUCAUGCCCCAGUGUUUAGGGCAGUGCUACCAAUGCACUAAGAGAUGGGAAAGGCGGUAGAUUCUCAGGACUUGGAGAAACUUUUGCAAUCACAUUGCCCAGCCCUCUCAUUUUACAGAUGAGGACACCGAGGCCCAGAGAGGUGUCUUGCCAAAGCCACACAGCACAGAGGAGCAGAGCCCGGGUCCAGCUAUUUCUCCUAUCUCACCACGCUGCCUCUUCUCACUGGAAGAGUGUACCAAGGCGGGAGUCUGGCCCCUACCCAUCCCAAGCCUGAUCCCUGCCUAAGAGCGUCUCCACCAGCAGCUCCAGGAGGGAUGAUAAAUUGUCAAAAGCCACCAAGAGUCAGGGACAGGAACUCAGUUCUGCCCAGCUGAGGGCUGUGCAGGGAUUUCAAGGUACCUGUGCGGACCCCAGCCCUCACUCAUUGAACUCAGUCAGAAAACCACCACGUCAGUGGAUUUAGAAAUGUGACAGGGAUUUCAGAGGGCAAUGGGUCCAGCCCUCACAACCCAGCACCACUCUGCAGGCAUGGAAACGCAGGCCCAGAGGACAGGGGCUUCUCAACAUGGGCACACAGCACCAAGACGGCUCCAUAAAUAGAAGCGAAAUCUCCAAGCUCCCACUCCAGGGAAGCUGACCACUGGGUGGGUGACUCCCCCAGCGUCCAAACCCUCUCUGGCAGUCCCUUGCUGCGCCAGGAGCGAGGAUGAAAGGGAGAGCUCUUCCCAGGGCCUCCGGGGAGACACUUCUGCUGACUGUCCCCAAGGAGAAAGAGGGGAGAGAAAUGAGGGAGGGUCCCUGAAGAAUGGAGACCUUCAAGAAAGAGGCCAACCUAGGGGACCAGUGGAAGCCAGAAAGAGCACGGGGGCAUGGCAGGGGCUGGAGCCGAUGUCCCAGGGAAGGAGUAGCUGCAAGGCCCCUCAGCCUCAGAGGAGCGCCAGCCCCGCCCUGCCAUUCUGGACAAGGCGUGAGUGUGAAGAGACUCUUGCCUGUCCACACUAUCAAGGCUGAGCGGGGGCAAAGGCAGCCCCCUGGGGGUCCCCACCCUGCUACUGGACUUUAAAACCAUUUUCUCUGGUUUUAAAGAAACAAUUUUUCUUUGGUCAUGAUUUUGUUGGUAGAUUUAUCUUUAUGGAAUUGUAGUAUUUUCUUGCUCUAAAACCCUCAGUUUAACCCCUUCUUUUUUCUGUCUCACAUUUUUGCCUCCAGCGAUAUGAAAAUGAACCUUGGAGAAUGGGAGGGUCCUGGGGGAGGGGGGCUGAGGGGCUCUUCACCAGGCAGAGAUGAACCCCAGUGCUGACACAAGCCCUUUCCUUUUCCUGGUUUCUCUUGCCCUGGAGAGUGACAGGCAGAAAGGGCUUUUUGUCUCUUUGGACCAUUUCUGUAUCCCUGCUGCCUCAAACGAAGCCUGGCCUGGGGCGAACUCAAUCAAUGACUCUUGACGGGAGACAGGGCUCCGGCCCACUGGGGUGAUGGGCUAAAGAGGGGAUUCUGGUUCCUGUGGACAAUCUGGAAGCUGUUAGAACUGGAGCGAGGAUUUCACCAAGGAGCUCAGAGAGAACCCGGGCAGGAACUCUCCAAUCAUCUGGCGGCUGAGGCCCUUUCGCUGGAGGAGGAAAUGGGCCACACCGAUGGGGGUGUCAGGGAUGAAGCCGCGUGAGAUCAGGAACUGGAUGCCCUUGUCCGGGUUUCUGGAGGUGGGGGUGGGGAGAAGCAGUAGAGAGUGAGCUGAAGCCAUCCAUGACCCUUUCCUGCCUGUCUUCCACCCAUAGAAGUACCCAGAGGUUCUUGGAAAUCCAGUUCCCCAUUGAAGCUUCUCUCACCAGAGCCUCAACCCACUGAAUGUCCUCACGCAGAGGAUGGUGUGUGACCAGAAGGAGGACAGGGGAGAUCUGCAAACAAAGUCCCCACCGCAGACGCCCCAACCCUGGAGAGAGGGUGGGAGAAACCGAGGUGAGACCUCCGCCACACCACCUCUUCCCUUUACAAGCUUUGAAGCCAUGCUGCUCCCUGAGCUGUUUCUCACAGGUCCGGGAGGAGAUAAGUACAGAAACACAAGGUCUGCCGAGUACUAGCUAUUUCAUCGUGUGCAUUUCGCCUUACUGGUGUGAGCCGGCUUCUUUUCUGUAAAACAGCAUGGUAAUACCUCUGUGUAGAUACUGCUGGAAGAUUACAGAUGCUUUAUGUAAGCCCUCCCGUCUCCUGCUCUCAGCCGGCAUUCUUUACGAGGCGCCUCUCCUCCCUCCCCCACCCAGCCUCGCAUUUCACCAACCCUGGGAGCUAAUGCGUUUUCCCUGGCUUCAUAUCCACCCGAAUGAUUGCUGCGUAAUCCUCAAACGGCCUGGACUGUUAUUUACUUAAUACUGUCUUUUCUUUUACAUUCUCUUACUUUUCAAACCCUAGCUUCAUCUUAAGCUGUAACAGUUGUGAAAGCAUGUGUUUGAUGUGUUAUUUUUUUCCUUUAAUCUUUCUUAAAAUAAACUCAGGAUGAUUAAAAUAAAA
rnacentral:antisense_RNA from 1 species